CCUGCCUCAGCCUCCCGAGUAGCUGGGACUACAGGCGCCCGCGACUACGCCCGGCUAAUUUUUUGUAUUUUUAGUAGAGACGGGGUUUCACCGUGUUAGCCAGGAUGGUCUUCGUCUCCUGACCUCGUGAUCCGCCCGCCUCGGUCCCCUAAAGUGCUGGGAUUACAGGCAUACACUCUUAAGUAACCUGGUGGGGACCCAUCAAACUACAAAGGGUUAUAGCUACUCUUACAGAAGACAUAAGAAGAUAUAUACGCAGAGAAGACAUCAUAAGACCUGAAGAUGAAAAACUUCUGAUCACAGAAGAAAGAUAUACAACAGCCUUGAAGCAUUCUGAGAACCCAGUGAAGGCAAUAAUGUCUCUUCCCAGAGAAAUUCACAGAUGAGUCAGCCUCAGGCAGAUUUGUUCUCUUACCUGAAUUCCCAGCCCUGUCUUCUGCCAUUUCUGGGACUGCAUGGAGCCUGACCCAGCAGUGGGCACAGAAACAUGCAGGUGCAGAAAUACUGAGGAUGAAAAGCUUACUGUAGCUUUGCAACAGCUUGAAGAUAUUGAACUGAAAUCUGAAAUGCGUUAAGGAGCAAGACACAGAAGACAUGGAGAUCCAUGUAGAAUCAUAAGAAGGUAAAGAAGAAGGAAAAAAUGUAGCCCCUAGAAGCUUGGAACUGCCCUCAGACUACAGCCAGGAAGCAGACAGGGACUUCAGUUCCACAGCCACAAGGAGCUGAAUUCUGCCAACCAGAAUGAGCAAGAACAUGGAUUCUCCCCUCAAGCCUCCAGAAAAGAAUGCAGCCUACAGUCAGCACUUUAAGUCCCAUGCAACCUAUAAUAGAUUUCUGACCUACAGAGCUUUAAUGUCAUAAAUUGGUGUUGUUUUAAGUCAUGAAGUUUGUGGUAGCUUCUUAUGACAGUAAUUGAAAACUAAUACCUGGUCUUUUUAGCAGAAUAACGAGCACCCUGUAAUGUGUCAUUCAUGCAUAUCUUUUUUUUUUUUUUUUUUUUGGUGGGGGCAGGAAGACAAAACUCUAGAGUUUAAUCUUCCAGCUGACUGACUUGGAAGUGUUCCUGUCAAUAUAAAAGAUCUUGUUGGGGG
rnacentral:lncRNA from 10 species